UUGGCAAGAGACUGUGAAAUUACAAAUGUACCGAGUUCAGCAUUUUGAUUUUGUUGUUCAGUCAGGCAAGACAAGAUGACGGGCAGGGUGAGAGAAGAUUCCUGAUCCAACUCACAGGUCCCAAACUUCCAGUCCUGUAGAUACUCUGCACCCAAACCUGCUUCCACUGUCAUCAAAGGGAGCCGUGUGGGGUCCGGAGUGAGGAACUGCCCUUGAGGAUCAGCCGUGCAGCCACCUCCUCGUCUCUCCAACAAACUGAAACAAGGGACAGUCUGUUGGAGUCCUGCCAAUGGGGAUAACGUGCAGAAGCAAGAAACAGGUAUUUCAAUCUCUGCACAUUGCUCGUUGGAUGUCAGCUCCAUUGGAUGGGAAGGAGCGGAACACGUGAUCAGGGCUGGGAAACAGCUGCUAGCAGACAAGGUAGCGGAGUUCGCGGCGAGCAUUGGGAUUUACG
rnacentral:lncRNA from 1 species